rnacentral:rRNA from 1 species
AUUGAACGCUGGCGGCAGGCCUAACACAUGCAAGUCGAACGAGUGGCGGACGGGUGAGUAAUGUCUGGGACUCUGCCUGAGGGAGGGGGAUAGCUACUGGACACGGUAGCUAAUACCGCAUACCAUCGGAUGUGCCCAGAUGGGAUUAGCUAGUAGGUGGGGUAACGGCUCACCGAGGCGACGAUCCCUAGCUGGUCUGAGAGGAUGACCAGCCACACUGGAACUGAGACACGGUCCAUACUCCUACGGGAGGCAGCAGUGGGGAAUAGUGCACAAUGGGCGCAAGCCUGAUGCAGCCAGGCCGCGUGUAUGAAGAAGGCCGUCGGGUUGUAAAGUACUUUCAGCGGGGAGGCGUUACCCGCAGAAGAAGCACCGGCUAACUCCGUGCCAGCCGCCGCGGUAAUUC